GAGCUUCGGUGAUUUGCAAGAAGAUGCUUGCAGCAGAGCGAAUGAUGGAUGUCGGCCUACCAUGGACCUGAGCAGGAUCUUGGGUGAUGCGCAAGAAGCAGCUGCUUGCAGCAGAGUGAAUGAUGGAUGUCUGCAUGUCAUGGACCUGAGCAGGAGCUGCGGUGAUGCGCAAGAAGCAGCUGCUUGCAGCAGAGGGAAUGAUGGAUGUCCGCCUGCCAUGGAAUUGAGCAGGAGCUGCGGCGAUGCGCAAGAAGCAGCUGCUUGCAGCAGAGGGAAUAGCAGCAGAGCGAAUGAUGGAUGUCCACCUGCCAUGGAAUUGAGCAGGAGCUGCGGUGAUGCGCAAGAAGCAGCUGCUUGGAGCAGAGGGAAGAGCAGCAGAGGGAAUGAUGGAUGUCUGCCUGCCAUGGACCUGAGCAGGAGCUGCGGUGAUGCGCAAGAAGCAGCUGCUUGCAGCAGAGUGAAUGAUGGAUGUCUGCUCGCCAUGGACCUGAGCGGGAGCUUUGGUGAUGUGCAAGAAGCAGUUGCUCGCAGCAGGGUGAAUGAUGGAUUUCCGCUCCAC
rnacentral:lncRNA from 1 species